rnacentral:lncRNA from 1 species
GAUGAUAAACUUCAAUCAAAUGGACAACUCUAGUAAGACUAAGAAGUUGCUCUUCUCAAAGAGAACGUACUCUUUGACUCCCAAAGAAAUAAUGCGUAAAUAGAAUCCUUUAUGCAUACGCGGAAAGGUGAUUUAUGUAUUUCAUAUUGUAUGAAAAACAUUGAUAUGAGUUGUACCUAGAACAGGUACAAGACGAUGUCAGUGCAAGCCCAGGAUCAGAACCAUGGCAAUUGUCAAGUGAAUCCUUAAGUAUUUAAGAAAUACUAAAGGAUAAAUUCCUCAAAGAUCAAGGAAGAAUUAGAGUAACGUAAUGGAAGCAUAAAUGAAUUAGAUUGUGAAUCUAAUCCAUCAUUGGAUGUUUCUUCAUUAUGAAUGAAGAGAUAAACAGAU